ACCAGCAUAUCCAUAUCCAUAUCCAUAUCCAUAUGAAGGAAAGUAAUAAUCACAGGACAGAUGACAGAGGCUUGGGGAGAAGUCUU